UUUCCUACGGGGGGCAGCAGUGGGGAAUAUUGGACAAUGGGGGGAACCCUGAUCCAGCGACGCCGCGUGAGUGAAGAAGUAUUUCGGUAUGUAAAGCUCUAUCAGCAGGGAAGAAAGAAAUGACGGUACCUGACUAAGAAGCCCCGGCUAACUACGUGCCAGCAGCCGCGGUAAUACGUAGGGGGCAAGCGUUAUCCGGAUUUACUGGGUGUAAAGGGAGCGUAGACGGCAGUGCAAGUCUGAAGUGAAAGGCGGGGGCCCAACCCCCGUACUGCUUUGGAAACUGUGCUGCUGGAGUGAAGGAG
rnacentral:rRNA from 1 species